CUGCUCUUCCACACCAAGGAUAAACCUGCCCCUCUUAUACAACCCUCCAUUCUAAAACCCUAAUCUCCUUCCCCCGCCACCUCUGCCGUCUCAUUUACCGGUUGGCUCCUUAAACCCUAUAGCCCAACUUUUGUUUACUCCAGUCUGCUUUGUGGGUGUAUGUUGCAUAUGUUUUGGUUUUAUGGUUGCUGGGGUAUAAAUUAAUUGUUUGUUUAGCAUGCAAUUUCAUUUGUUAAUUCAUGUGAAGUGAAUUUGAUUGAAGCUUGUUAGUUUUUUUACAGCUCUUCUUCUUGUUGUCUACAAAUGUGGAAAUGGGUUCUUUAUUUCUGUAUUUGUUUUCUGGUCUUGUUUACGGAUGAUUGAAAUGAGUUGUUGAUGUAGGGUUCUUUUCUCCCUCUAUCAACGGAAUCUUAUCCCUGUUUAAUUGUGUGAAUUGAGCUUUAUAAUAUUGGAAGGGAAUUGCUAUCUGAAUAGCAUAAAUUUAAUUUUGAAAGUUGAGAAUGAGUCAAUUGGGUAUUAGACCAAUCUGAAAAACUAGUUUAUUGUGCUUGAACUUGUUGACAAUCAGUCAAUUGAAUCUUCUUUAAUAGUGCCUCUAUUACUUCUUUAUACUCACAAUCAAACUUGCAGCCAUUUCUUUAAGAAAAUUUUGACUUUUGCUUGAUAUAAACUAGCUUCUUAAUGUUCCUUGAUUGUCACUUUCUCAUUAUAUCUUGUGUAAUCGCAUUUUCUUAUUAUUGGUAUUUGAGAACUUUGUCCUCUUCUGACAUAGCUGAAGUUUUUAAUUGGCUGUCGUCAGAUAUCAAAUAGUGAAUGGCGUCCACCUUUACUGCCAUGUCCUCAGUUGGAUCCUUGGCUGCAGCUAAUGGCUGUGUGAUGGAUAAGAAACUUGCAUCUUCUUCAAACAGGUUGUCAUCUUUUGCCUCCAUUUCUGGAAGCUCAUUUGGUCGGAGAAAGAGUGUUGUUCUACGUAGAUCACGUUCCCCCCAGAUUUGCGCCAUGGCCAAGGAGUUGCAUUUCAAUAAGGAUGGAUCAACAAUCAAGAAAUUACAAACUGGUGUGAACAAACUUGCAGAUCUAGUUGGGGUUACUCUUGGACCUAAAGGCCGAAAUGUUGUUCUUGAGAGCAAGUAUGGCUCCCCAAAAAUCGUUAAUGAUGGUGUGACUGUUGCUAAAGAGGUUGAAUUGGAGGAUCCAGUUGAGAAUAUUGGUGCCAAGUUGGUGAGACAGGCAGCUGCGAAGACAAAUGACUUGGCUGGUGAUGGGACUACAACAUCUGUUGUUCUUGCUCAGGGUCUUAUUGCUGAAGGUGUCAAGGUUGUAGCUGCUGGUGCAAACCCUGUUCUGAUUACUAGGGGUAUUGAGAAGACCUCAAAGGCUCUAGUGAAUGAACUUAAGUCGAUGUCAAAAGAGGUUGAAGACAGUGAGCUUGCAGAUGUAGCAGCUGUUAGUGCUGGGAACAACUAUGAAGUAGGGAACAUGAUUGCUGAAGCCUUGAGUAAAGUGGGUCGUAAGGGUGUGGUAACUCUUGAAGAGGGCAAAAGUGCUGAGAACAGCCUGUAUGUUGUUGAGGGAAUGCAGUUUGAUCGUGGUUAUAUAUCACCUUAUUUUGUUACUGACAGUGAAAAAAUGGCCGUUGAAUAUGAGAACUGCAAGUUGCUUCUUGUUGAUAAGAAAAUAACAAAUGCAAGGGAUCUCAUUAACAUUCUGGAAGAGGCAAUCAGGGCUGGAUACCCAAUUCUGAUUAUUGCUGAAGACAUUGAGCAGGAAGCUCUGGCAACUCUUGUUGUGAAUAAACUUAGGGGUGCUUUGAAGAUUGCUGCUCUCAAAGCUCCUGGUUUUGGAGAGCGAAAGAGUCAGUACCUUGAUGACAUUGCUAUUUUAACUGGAGGAACUGUUAUAAGAGAUGAGGUGGGCCUUGCCUUGGACAAAGUUGAUAAGGAGGUCCUGGGUCAUGCUUCCAAGGUGGUACUUACCAAGGAUACUACUACCAUUGUGGGUGAUGGAAGUACCCAAGAAGCAGUAAACAAGAGAGUUGUGCAAAUAAGAAAUCUCAUUGAGGCUGCUGAGCAAGAUUAUGAGAGGGAAAAACUUAAUGAGAGAAUCGCAAAAUUGUCAGGGGGUGUUGCUGUGAUCCAGGUUGGAGCACAAACUGAGACGGAGCUUAAAGAAAAGAAAUUGAGAGUUGAAGAUGCUCUUAAUGCAACAAAGGCAGCGGUGGAGGAAGGUAUUGUGGUUGGUGGUGGAUGCACCCUGCUGAGACUCGCAUCAAAGGUGGAUGCCAUAAAAAACAGCCUUGAAAAUGAUGAAGAGAAGGUAAUUUGGGCGUGACAAACAUAAUGGUGCUUACAUACGAGUUACAAAGUUGCCCUUAUAGCUGUUUGAAAGGAUGCUUCUGGCUUAAUUAUUUAUACUUGGUUGCAGGUUGGAGCAGAUAUUGUGAAGAGGGCUCUGAGCUACCCACUCAAAUUAAUUGCCAAGAAUGCUGGUGUUAAUGGAAGUGUGGUCAGUGAGAAGGUAUUUAAUUUGCAAUUAGUAAUUUACAACAAUUUGUUUGGUUUCAUAUUGGUUUCAACUGAAACCAAUAUUUCUUUUUACAGGUUCUCUCCAAUGACAAUCCAAAAUUUGGAUACAAUGCUGCAACUGGAAACUACGAAGAUCUAAUUGCUGCUGGGAUAAUUGAUCCAACCAAGGUGGUUAGAUGUUGCUUAGAGCAUGCAUCAUCAGUAGCAAAGACUUUCUUGAUGUCUGACUGUGUAGUUGCGGAGAUCAAGGAGCCUGAGCCAGUGCCUGUUGGCAAUCCCAUGGACAAUUCAGGAUAUGGUCUAUGAGGUCAUUGAGCAGCGUGGGGAGUAGAGCAAAAUAAAGACCAGACUAACCAAUUGUAGUAACAGAGUUAAUUGGUUGGGAAUGAGUGGAUUUUUUGUAAAUUUAAUCAACCUCAAUUGGAUAGGAAUUCUAGAUUCUGUGGGGAUAGCAUACUGGAGCGCGGCAUGUAUCUGACAAUUAAUAGCACAAUUGCAUUGAUUUUUAAGUUCUAAUUGUGCUCAUGGAAUAAUGUACUUGUGAAUUAGUAACCCCACCCAAGUUGCAGUAUUAUUAUCCCAAGAUGCUUGUGGAGGAUAGACAGAAACACUUCAUAUUCGAACUUGUCACGGAGGAAGAAGUUUGCUCACCUCAAACUU
rnacentral:misc_RNA from 1 species